rnacentral:rRNA from 1 species
CUCAUCUCAUGUCAUCUCAGGGAAGAAUAAGAAGAAGAAAAAUAUAUGGCUGCUGCUCCAUGACCAUGACCUUGAAUUGUUGCUGCUGCACCAGAUCGAGGAAGAAGAAGACCUGCAAAAAAAGCAAUAACUAGCAAUGCACAAGCAUGAAUUCAUGGAAGGACGGAUGCAAGGCCAAACAUCCAGCAUACUGUUUCUUAAUGCCCCAACUACUUAAAAAACCAUGGUAGUUCUAACCAUAUUAAAUUAAAG